GCCGCUCCUCCCUGCUCACUUCCACUGUCUCUGUCCGCCAUGAUGCCUGCCUGCCUUCUCCCUCCGUCUGCUGCAACCUCACAGCCAGCCAGCCAGCCACGCGGCCGCUCUCGCGAGAUCUCUGCAAGCAGACAGACAGUAACCGCUUGAUUCCAGUCUGGUUGGUGGUCGCGCUGGAUCCGGAUCACAUACUGGGAAUUCUCGGCGCGAGUCGGGAAUCCACGCAACGCCACGCGCACACGUUCCCAUCAAGUAGACAGUUCCGCCAAUCCCAAAGAGAUGUGUUUUGAGAGGUGGAAGAAAAUCAGAAGAAUCCCCCCGGGGACACAGAGAGGACAUGCGCAUCUGCACACUGGCCGCAGCGCCAUGCCGCACAGUUGAGUUUGAUAUAUUUGCAAAUGAAUUUGGGUUGUGCAGAAAUGUAUUUUGAUGAUAUUCAUGAUACGGAUACAAAUGUACAUAUUUUUAAUGAAUUAAGAACGAGCAAACAUCCCAACAUGCUCUGUUGUUUAUUUUUUUUAAGCGCUAAAUAAAGAUAACUUGGAAUAAAAUGAAAGGAAACGGAAAAUUAAAUAAUAAUAAAAAAUGUUUCCCUAAGAAUCAAUUCAGGAUAUAUUACAUAAAUAUAUUUAGUAAUGUUUUAUAUGCAUAAAUCUAUCUAUCUAUCUAUCUAUCUAUCUAUCUAUCUAUCUAUCUAUCUAUCUAUCUAUCUAUCUAUAUAAACCUAAGUAUAUCUUAUAGUAAUAUAUGCCACGUCGAACAUGUAGAGGAGUUUGACUUUUUUUCUGUCUCUGUGAAAAGUCUGCCUUUUAAAAUCCAUUUAUUAAAACUAUCAAUCAAUUUCUAGGAAGCACUAAUACAUGCAAAUUAAAUCAUUUUUUAUACGUGAAUCAAAUAAAUGCAAUUAAAUUUG